CCUACGGGUGACAGCAGUCGAGAAUCAUUCACAAUGGGGGAAACCCUGAUGGUGCGACGCCGCGUGGGGGAAUGAAGGUCUUCGGAUUGUAAACCCCUGUCAUGUGGGAGCAAAUUAAAAAGAUAGUACCACAAGAGGAAGAGACGGCUAACUCUGUGCCAGCAGCCGCGGUAAUAAAGAGGUCUCAAGCGUUGUUCGGAAUCACUGGGCGUAAGGCGUGCGUAGGCUGUUUCGUAAGUCGUGGGUGAAAGGCGCGGGCUCAACCCGCGGACGGCACAUGAUACUGCGAGACUAGAGUAAUGGAGGGGGAACCGGAAGUCUCGGUGUAGCAGUGAAGUGCGUAGAUAUCGAGAGGAACAAUCGUGGCGAAGGCGGGUUCCUGGACAUUAACUGACGCUGAGGCACGAAGGCCAGGGGAGCGAAAGGGAUUAGAUACCCGGGUAGUC
rnacentral:rRNA from 1 species